UCACAAAAUCAUUAAUCGCAGACCUUCCCUUGGUUAAAGAAGAGGUUUGUUUGUUUUAAAAGACAUUUUCUGUCUAUUUACUUCUUUUUUCUGUUUCCUUACCUUCACUCUUUGACUGGAAAUGAGUGUUUGAACGUAUUUUUAAUUAGACUGAUUUUCUAUUUGGUUUUCGAGAAAGUAAAGGAAGAGUGUCGAGGAUUUUGGUUGAUAGAGUUUAAUAGAGCUGGGCAUUUUACUUUAAAGUGGAGAUAAAAGAUUUUUUAUUUUUUGAAUUUCUAAAGUUUAAUAGGGAGA
rnacentral:lncRNA from 1 species